CCUUUUUCUACUUUCUUGUAGUUGCUAGAAACCGUUGGUAUUCCUUGGCUUGUAGGUGCAUCACUCCAAUAUCUGCCUCUAUUGUCACCUGGCAUUAUCUCUGUGUGUCUCUGUGUUCAAAUUUCCCUCUUCUUAUAAAGACGCUAGUCAUUGGGUUAGGGCCCAUUGUAAUCCAGGAUGGCCUCAUUAAUUUGAUUACACCUGCAAAGACCCUAUUUACAAAUGAGGUCAUAUUCAGAGAUACUAGGAGUCAGAAGUUUAACAUAUCUUUUUGGGGAUACAAUUCAACAAUUUUAACGCUUGCUGUAGCUUUAAAUGGAAGGGGUUUCAAAGUUCUUAGGAGUCCUUGUUUUUGUCUUCCCAGGUAUCUCUUGUUUUCUCUAACACCUCCUCUUAAAUAGAGACUGACCCUUGCAGCUCUUUCAGCUGUUAUCCAUUGUUAAUACGCUUGAGCCCUGGUGAUGCAGUGGGAAGAAGUGGGAGAGGAAAAACCUUCUAUGAUAUUAUGAUUACGUUUUAGUGUUUUAGUAAGUCUUUGUCUCUGAACUGCAACCUUCACAAGUGUUUCUUCAUCCUCUCCUGUCUUACACUUGAAAAAGGAAGCCUAGAAGAAGCUGGAGCCUGGGACAUACCUUUCCACCAGCUGAUAUAAGGCUCUUUUUUGCCGGAAGGGCUUUGUUAUAGAGAACACUCCCAGCAUAUUUCAAAAUGGCUACUUUCCUCUUUUCCUGCCAGAGGGAUGAGACCCAGCCCUGCAGUCGCCUUGAAAACCAGCAGCCAGGAAGCCAGUGAAGAGAGAAGAAUGGUGUUGGAGCCCCUUCAAAGCCCCAUCCCCAGAAAACUAUCGUUAUUUUACAUGGUUGGUGUUUCCAUGGAAGAUUCUACUCACAAGGCUGUCUUUAUCCUGAAUCAGAGCUCUCCCAGUGCAAAAAGCCUUUCCCCUGGGGGUGUUGGCCCCAAAAAUGUAUGCAGUUGUUUAAAAAUCUGGAUUUCUGUAUUGUAGGAUAAUGGAUAGGGCCAAAAAUAGGCUAAACAAAGGAAAAGCUGGGGAAUGAGAUGUACAUGAAACCUUGGAUAAACUAUGUCAUAUUCCUGAGAAUCUAGAAGGCUAUGCACGUGUGAAGGGCUAUGCACAGUCACAGAAGAGACCUCAUAGGCUCUCAGAGACUCUGUGCGAGCAGGAAAAUAAGGCUAGGAGGGAUCCUCAACUGCCUGAGUGCUGAAGGCGUGUCCCGACUCUCUCACAGAGCUCUCAGCAAAGACUGGGAGAUGCAUUGGUUCCAGACAUUUAAAAAAAACCUAUGUCCAAUCAUUCAUAGACCAAUGACCAAGCCUAUCAGUGACAUCAGUGGCCAUAAACAGCGACAUGAGGGGAAUAAUAGAGACAUCACAGAAUUUUUCAGAAAAGUAACUAAACAUGUAAACAACAAUGAACACCCCUGGGGAAGGGGGAGAACCUAUUUUCUAGAGCUUUGGCUUUAUUUUAAAUGUCCAGUUUAGAACAAUAGUAAAAAAAAAAUAUGAGAAUAAGAAGCAAGAAAACAUGGCUCAUGCACAGGAAAAAGGUCAUCAAUAGAAACUGUCAUUAAGGAAACCCAGACAAGGACUCGCUAGAAACAGAGUUCAUAUCAGUUAUUAAAUACGUUAAAGAACUAAAGGCAAUAAUAAGUGAUAACUAAUGGAAAGAAUGAAUAUAAUAUCUCAUCAAAUAGAUAAUAUGAAUAAAGAGAGAGACAUUAUAAAAUAGAACCAAACAAAAAUUUUGGCAAAUACCAAGGAGAACAGUUGCUGGAUUGGUAUAUAAGAUUAUAUCUAGUUUUAUAGGAAACUGCCAAACCGUCUUCUAAAGUGUCUGUACCAUUUUGCAUUCCCUCCAGCAAUGAAUGAGAUUUCCAGUCGCUACACGUGAACGACAACUAGUUUUGAAUUGUCUCAUUAUUUUAUAGGAUGGUUUUGAAGAUUUGAGGGAAAAGCAUCAAAUUGGUGGCCAAGCUUCUAUGCCCCUCUUCCCAUUUUCUGGGGCAGUGAAAGGAAGUAUCUUGCUCUUUCAUAUGCUGUUUUAAUCCAUUAGACAUUGUUUUGCACUAAGAAACUUAAAAAUAGGAAGCAUGUUGGAAGAUUAUUCAGUCAAAAUAGCUAAAUAAAAACAUAAGUAAAUAUAAAGCACUUGAACAUUAUAGUCAGUGUUCAGUGAUCUAUUUCUCUCUCUUCUUAUCUGUAAUAUGGUGACAUAUUUGUGUCUCAGCAGAGGUCUGUUGUAAGGAAUCUCGGACCAAUUGCCCAAUGCUCAUUUUUAUGUGUUAUAAAUGUCAUAAUUAUUAUGUUCUAUUUUAAUAAAUAAAUUUUGCAAGAUAGAUAUUCUCAGUCCUAUUUAGAGAUAAAGAAUCUGGGGCUUAGAAACUUAAGAUGCUUUCCCAGGUUACUAGAAAUUAACAGAAAUUGAUUUAUUUUUCCUGGAGAAACAAGAGGCAGUACAGCAUUCUGUGAGUUUUCAGAAGAGUUAAAAUUUCGAAAGGGAACUUAUCUGAUGCUAGGAGUGGGUGCAUGACAGAAAUUCGAGUGCAUGCUCUAUCUAACCAUAAAUCUUUGUAAUGCUAUGCUGCCACACUAUAUUGCUCGAUAUUAAUUAUUAAUGUUCUUGUCCAUCUGCCCCACUAAAUUUUGAGCACCUACAGGUUUAAAACCACGUAUAGUUCAAUUAUUCUUCAAAUCUUAGAGCCCGUAGCAUGGAGUUCAAUUUCUGGUGCUUAAUCCAUAUUUUAUUUAUUAACAGAGUUAAUGAAGGGGCUUAUAAAUUCAAAUUCCUAUAGAAUAGUAACAGAAACAUGAUACAAGUUAACUGAAUAUUUGGCAUCUAACUUGUUGAAUUGGACGAAAGUGCUUCUCUAGUAUAUUCAUUAGCAUGAUGGAUUAUCUAUGUAUUACAUAUGUAUAUAUGGUAUAUAUUUAUAUAUGAUAUAUAUAUCAUAGAGAUACCAUUUAUGCAUGUAUGUAUAUAUACACAUAUAUAUGCACCAUAUGUAAUAUGUAUAUGCACAUACAUUAUAUUUAUAUAUGAUACAUACUUCACUGGAAAAUGUAGACUGCAAACUGCCAUAUGAAGACAAGAAAGGAACGUUCGUAACAAUUGAGUCGGUUAUGGAGCUUGUAUCUCGUGAUCCUGCUGAGUCCAUCGUUCUAGGAGAGCUGCUUUCCUGCUGAGACAGGAGUGCUUGUGCACCCACGCCUAGGCUUGAAGAAGUGUAGCAUCCUGGAAUAGUGAGUCAUGGACAUGCUGAGAAGCCUCUGUCUUCAUUAAUUCAAGCCGCAGACAUAAGAAAAUUGCUUCAAUUUAUUACUUUAUCAUUAUUUAUCCAGUUGCAGAUUAUCUUAUAAAUACACAUCACCAGAAAACAAAUAUAUACAAAUGAUUAUUUUGUUAUUAAAAGGAAGAACUGUGUUUCUUUCCUUUUAUACAAUAGACUGUAGUUUCAGUGAUUAUCAUCAGGGAGGAAAAACGCUGAAAAAUAGUUUUUCUUAUUUUCAGCCUUUUGCAGAUUUUGAGAAUCAAGACAAUUCUCACGUGCUUUAUUUUUUGCAGCAAUUUUUAGGAUGAGAUAUGAUAAAAUAACUGCAUCCACUCAUAUUUUUUUCUGGGAGUGAGAAAAUAGGAAAAAUAUAAGGGCAAUGAUAGAUUGGAUUUCAGAACUAUUUUUCAUGAUUGAUUUUUCUCUAAAGGAAUUGGGAUGAAUUUGUCAUGCAUUUAUUGAGUCUUAGUAGAGAGGGAUAUUUUUUACUGACA
rnacentral:lncRNA from 1 species